rnacentral:rRNA from 1 species
AGAGUUUGAUCAUGGCUCAGAACGAACGCUGGCGGCGCGCCUAAUACAUGCAAGUCGAACGAGAAUGUGUAGCAAUACACAUGUACAGUGGCGAACGGGUGAGGACUACAUGGGUAACCUACCCUCGAGUGGGGAAUAACUAGCCGAAAGGUUAGCUAAUACCGCGUACGCUUCCCAGACUGCGGUUUGGGAAGGAAAGCGAUACCGUGGGUAUCGCGCUCUUGGAUGGGCUCAUGCCCUAUCAGCUUGUUGGUGAGGUAACGGCUCACCAAGGCUUCGACGGGUAGCUGAUCUGAGAGGAUGAUCAGCCACACUGGCACUGCGACACGGGCCAGACUCCUACGGGAGGCAGCAGUAAGGAAUAUUGCGCAAUGGGCGAAAGCCUGACGCAGCGACGCCGCGUGGGGGAUGAAGGUCUUCGGAUUGUAAACCCCUUUCGGGAGGGAAGAUGGGAUGGGGUAACCCAUUCGGACGGUACCUCCAGAAGCAGCCACGGCUAACUUGUGCCAGCAGCCGCGGUA